UCCGCUGAGGUCCCGCCCCUGGCUCGUCCGGAAGUCUGGUCACUUACGUACACGGUUUGUGUGCCCUGCUCCGUCGGCCUUGCUGGGAAAUGUAGUUCUAUCGCUUCAGCGACCCGCAUCUGCGCCUCAGUCUGGACUACCAAUCCCAUAAUGCUCUCCGUGACCGGAUGCGCAAUUGCAGGCGACGGCCUCUGGCGCGUCGCUCUAUAAAGUACGCUUAGACGCGGGAAGAUCCGUUUAUGGCUCCUUACUCGAGGGACGUGUGCUUAUGUCACCGUUAGGGAUGUUUUUCAUCUGGGAAAGGACUGUUAGACUUGACCCUGUUGUUUCUCCCAGCAGUGAGAAUGUGGCCAUGGACUAGACCUCAGAGUAGUGACUCUUCCGUAGACGACACGGCCCUUUGGAGAACUGGAAGAAACUUCAGAUCCAUAUGGGUGGAAGAGGAGGAAGAUAAAGGAAACCAAGCUUUGUCAGUUUGGUGAGGUAGAGAAAAGUCAGAGGGGAACUUUCUAAGACUGGACCACACAUCCAUGGAUCUUGUUGAGUCCGAGAAAAUGAUCACCAAGAUGAAGGUCUCAGAAGCAACUCUCCAGUCUCUGCCCCUUCUUUCUCCCCCCAGGAUAGCCGCAGAAACUAGAAUCCCUCUUCCCCAAAGCAAGUCAUAGAAACUAGUACCCCUUCCCCACAAAGCAAGCCAUAACGCCUAAAAAUAUUACUCCAACAUUACCCCACCUUUCUGUGUAAAGAUUGGCCAUAAAUAAAUUACCUGACCUACCAUGUAGGGAUAACCA
rnacentral:lncRNA from 13 species